rnacentral:rRNA from 1 species
UAUCGGAACAUGCCUUGUAGUGGGGGAUAACUAUCCGAAAGGAUAGCUAAUACCGCAUACGCUCUAAGGAGGAAAGCGGGGGAUCGUAAGACCUCGUGCUAUAAGAGUGGCCGAUAUCUGAUUAGCUAGUUGGUGAGGUAAAGGCUCACCAAGGCGACGAUCAGUAGCUGGUCUGAGAGGACGACCAGCCACACUGGAACUGAGACACGGUCCAGACUCCUACGGGAGGCAGCAGUGGGGAAUUUUGGACAAUGGGGGCAACCCUGAUCCAGCAAUGCCGCGUGAGUGAAGAAGGCCUUCGGGUUGUAAAGCUCUUUUGUCAGGGAAGAAACGGUUGUGGCUAAUAUCCAUGGCUAAUGACGGUACCUGAAGAAUAAGCACCGGCUAACUACGUGCCAGCAGCCGCGGUAAUACGUAGGGUGCAAGCGUUAAUCGGAAUUACUGGGCGUAAAGCGUGCGCAGGCGGUUUUAUAAGACAGAGGUGAAAUCCCCGGGCUCAACCUGGGAACUGCCUUUGUGACUGUAAGGCUAGAGUGUGUCAGAGGGGGGUAGAAUUCCACGUGUAGCAGUGAAAUGCGUAGAUAUGUGGAGGAAUACCGAUGGCGAAGGCAGCCCCCUGGGAUAACACUGACGCUCAUGCACGAAAGCGUGGGGAGCAAACAGGAUUAGAUACCCUGGUAGUCCACGCCCUAAACGAUGUCUACUAGUUGUCGGGACUUA